rnacentral:rRNA from 1 species
AUUGAACGCUGGCGGCAUGCCUUACACAUGCAAGUCGAACGGUAACGGGCCUUCGGGUGCCGACGAGUGGCGAACGGGUGAGUAAUACAUCGGAACGUGCCCGAUCGUGGGGGAUAACGAGGCGAAAGCUUUGCUAAUACCGCAUACGAUCUACGGAUGAAAGCAGGGGACCGCAAGGCCUUGCGCGGACGGAGCGGCCGAUGGCAGAUUAGGUAGUUGGUGGGAUAAAAGCUUACCAAGCCGACGAUCUGUAGCUGGUCUGAGAGGAUGAUCAGCCACACUGGGACUGAGACACGGCCCAGACUCCUACGGGAGGCAGCAGUGGGGAAUUUUGGACAAUGGGCGCAAGCCUGAUCCAGCCACGCCGCGUGCAGGAUGAAGGCCUUCGGGUCGUAAACUGCUUUUGUACGGAACGAAAAGCCUUCUUUUAAUACAGGAGGGUCAUGACGGUACCGUAAGAAUAAGCACCGGCUAACUACGUG